rnacentral:rRNA from 1 species
AGUGAACGCUGGCGGUAGGCCUAACACAUGCAAGUCGAACGGCAGCACAGUAAGAGCUUGCUCUUACGGGUGGCGAGUGGCGGACGGGUGAGGAAUACAUCGGAAUCUACUUUUUCGUGGGGGAUAACGUAGGGAAACUUACGCUAAUACCGCAUACGACCUACGGGUGAAAGCAGGGGAUCUUCGGACCUUGCGCGAUUGAAUGAGCCGAUGUCGGAUUAGCUAGUUGGCGGGGUAAAGGCCCACCAAGGCGACGAUCCGUAGCUGGUCUGAGAGGAUGAUCAGCCACACUGGAACUGAGACACGGUCCAGACUCCUACGGGAGGCAGCAGUGGGGAAUAUUGGACAAUGGGCGCAAGCCUGACCAGCCAUACCGCGUGGGUGAAGAAGGCCUUCGGGUUGUAAAGCCCUUUUGUUGGGAAAGAAAAGCAGCAGGUUAAUACCCCGCUGUUCUGACGGUACCCAAAGAAUAAGCACCGGCUAACUUCGUG